rnacentral:lncRNA from 1 species
CAGUGGACUGAAAGUCCGUCAGAGAACAGCUCCGAGUGCGGACGGUCCGGUGGAGCAGCGGCAUCGAAAGCGAUUCGCAAAGCACCUGCUACCAUGUAGCAGUGGGUUCAAUUCCCACGGAAGUGGAUGAGGAGGAGGGCCGUGACCUCCUCUGCCCCCCAGAGACCUCAGCCAAAGUAAAGAGAUAAAAGCGCCCGGAGAAGAUGUUCUAGUGUGAAGGGAGCAUGGUGGCGCAGUGUGCAUGGGAGCGGCCAGAAUGCAGAAGUGUCUGGUUCGAGGCUCGCUCGGCGCCGGAUGCCAGGUUCCUGGAGCCUCACCCCGCUGCAGAGGGAGAGGAGGGGGCCGUGUCCCCUCCCAGGCUUCCAGAGAGGCCGUGUCAACAGCAGUCCUCCUGUAACUCUGGACAUCAGCCUUCAACCUGUAAGAAACUGACAUAUUAUAACACUGUCAGACAAUUCAAUUCAAACUCAAACCCACAACCUAAAGACUGA